AAGAAGUCAGGCCAGAUUAAGCCAUA
rnacentral:lncRNA from 1 species